rnacentral:rRNA from 1 species
UACGUAGGGUGCAAGCGUUGUCCGGAAUUAUUGGGCGUAAAGGGCGCGUAGGCGGCUCGGCACGUCCGUUGUGAAAUCGCCCGGCUCAACUGGGCGGGGUCAGCGGAUACGGUCGAGCUUGAGCAAGCUAGGGGGCAAUGGAAUUCCCGGUGUAGUGGUGGAAUGCGUAGAUAUCGGGAGGAACACCAGUGGCGAAGGCGGUUGCCUGGGGCUUUGCUGACGCUGAUGCGCGAAAGCGUGGGGAGCGAUCCGG